UGUGGGUGCUGUGUGUCUCCUCUGAGGGAGGCUCCUCGGUGGCCCUGCCAGUGGCUCCAGCUGUGAAGGGCUUGCUCUUCUCCACAUUCAGGGUCAGGUGGCUUUGAAUGCACCAUCUCUCUUAGUCAACAUGACAACGAUUUGAGGCAGGAAUAAGCACCAUCGUCCUUUCCAGUCUAAUUAACACAAUAAUUCACUUGGUUGCUCAAGACCAUAUCUGAAUAGCAGCUACCCCAAGAUGGUAAGAUGACAGAUGUCUGGCUUUCUUGCAAUGUGGAGUGAGCAACUUUGAUCAGAAGGAGGCAUCAGGCACGUCACAGAAGGGAGAGAACUCAGGAAGACUAAACACAGCCUCUAUGACCAUAAGACAAUGGGUGCAAUAUACAAGGACCUUGUGAAGAAGUAAGAUAGAAUACAGGAGUGAAAACAGGACACUCUACAGUGUUUAUAGCCUUAUGACCAGAAGGCAAUAUAGCCUAGAGCAUCUUUCCCCUUGGCCAAAUGGAUCUGCUGCAUGUGCACAUGCUAGAGUGACAUAUGUAGUACCUGAUGUCAUCACAUGACCCUCAUGAGACCAUACAGUACCAUCUGGGAUCUAGGCCAGCUGUGAAUGACUUAAGGCACAGCUAACAAUUCUGGCUCUUUAGGACUACACCUGAAGUAACACCGAUAAUUCUAGGACUUGGGAGAAGGGGAGGGGAGCUGGCUUCCUGAUCCUCUUCUAGCCCAAGGUUAUCUGUCACGUGAGAGCAGAAUUGCAGCCUGAUGUCUCCUGCACAGCUACGUACAGAGGCUGGAGGCAGCUGGUGUGACCAUAUAAGACAGCAAGGGAGGACAUGAAUAGAAGAGCAGAGGAAAAAGAAAAGCAGAGGAAAACAGUCCAUUUCAAGGCAGGCAGUUCUGUAUCCACACACGGCUUCCAUCAUUUCCUCCUCCAUAAGGCCUUAACAUCAUACCCAGAUGCUGGGAGGCACGCAACCUGAAGCAAGGAGAUAGGCAGUCUGGGUUCUCCAUUUCAGCCUCAGUAUCCUCAUUUAACACGACGAAAUAGCUAAUAGAUUCUGUGAUUCGGGAACCAGAGGCUGCAAGCUAAGGUCUUACAUAACAGGUGCGGCCUCGCCUCCCUACCCCACAGUUCUAAAAGAAAUGUUAUUGUGGGUACCAAUCUGCGCGAAUAAUGCUGCAGAGCUGGACAGUCAGGGCAGGGAACCUGAGCCUCUCCAGAGAGGCAGAGCAAAGCCUUUGCCUUCAAAAAGAGACAGGCGAGGGGUGCAGUUUUGCUUUCAAGCCCCAAGGUGUUGGCCUUUGCCUAAAGGUAAUCUCUUUCUUAGAGCGCCACCUACUGGUACAGGGGUUUGCAGCAAUGCCUAGCCUCGGCUUGUACAAAGUACAUAAUCUCGACCUCAGUGUGUUUUAGAAAAAAGUAUUGCAUGAUACUUAAAAACAAGAUCUCUCUC